UACGUAGGGGGCAAGCGUUGUCCGGAAUCAUUGGGCGUAAAGCGCGCGUAGGCGGCCCGGUAAGUCCGCUCUGAAAGUCCAGGGCUCAACCCUGGAAAGCGGGUGGAUACUGCCGGGCUAGAAUCCGGAAGAGGCGAGUGGAAUUCCUGGUGUAGCGGUGGAAUGCGCAGAUAUCAGGAGGAACACCGGUGGCGAAGGCGGUUCUCUGGGCCUGUACUGACGCUGAGGAACGAAAGCGUGGGGAGCGAACAGG
rnacentral:rRNA from 1 species